AUGGAGGGGAACAAAGAUGAGGCCUUGAGGUCUGUCAAGCUUGCACAGACUGCGCUAGCAUCUGGAGAUAGACAGCAAGCAGACAAAUUUAUCCGAAUUGCCCAAAGAUUGGAUCCCAGCCUUCCAAUUGUUGAUUUGUUGACCUCAACCAAGAAGUUUGAUCCCCUGAAUCUGAAUGGUACUGCUUGCCAGGACAAGACCAGAAGAGGCCAUGAAAACCUAAAAACGCCAAAAGAAUUUGUUGGUCCUUCUAAUGUUGAUAAAGGUUACACUGAGGAGAAUGUUAGAGUUAUCCGUGAUAUCAGGAAGAACAAAGACUACUAUGCAAUUCUUGGAGUGGAGAGGACUUGCUCCUUGGAGGAGAUUAGGAAGGCCUACAGGAGGCUGUCACUGAAAAUUCACCCUGACAAGAACAAAGCUCCUGGGGCAGAGGAUGCAUUCAAGAUGCUCAGCAAGGCUUUCAAGUGCCUAGGCAAUGAUCAGUCACGGAAGACCUAUGAUCAGACAGGCACCCUUGAGGGGCAUGAGUUUAACGACCAAUAUUCCAAUGUCAUGAGGCAGAGAACUGCUAGGCGAAGGAGGCAAACAAGAAAUGGCUUCUAUAAUUAUGAAGAAGAUUUAGAUCCAGAUGAGAUAUUCAGGUCUUUCUUCUAUGGUACUCGUGAUAAUUCAUUCCGUGGUCACAAUGUCUACAGAACAAGAGAAGCAGGUAGGCAGGAGCAACAGAGAAGGGAGCAUCCUGUACAGGGUGGGUCGUUCAUAAACUUAACAGUAUUGAUGCACCUGUCGGUCGUAUUACUUUUUGUCUUGUUUGCAUUCAUUCCAGUGCAGCAGCCUCAAUAUGCCCUGCACAAGACAUACAACUUCCCCAUUUCAAAAGUCACUGAUAAGCAUGGGGUGGAGUACUUUGUCAGCAAACAAGAUUUUGAUCAGCAGUUUCCACAUGGAAGUCCUUCUAGAGAUAACCUCGAGGAUCACGUUUUCAGAGAUUAUAAGACUAUGCUAGGAAGAAACUGUCGUGUGGAACUCCAUCGGCGUAAAUGGGCCAAUGACUACCCUACGCCUCACUGUGACAAGCUACGGAGCCUUGAUGUGGCAUAA
rnacentral:rRNA from 1 species